UACGAAGGGGGCUAGCGUUGCUCGGAAUCACUGGGCGUAAAGGGCGCGUAGGCGGCCGAUUAAGUCGGGGGUGAAAGCCUGUGGCUCAACCACAGAAUUGCCUUCGAUACUGGUUGGCUUGAGACCGGAAGAGGACAGCGGAACUGCGAGUGUAGAGGUGAAAUUCGUAGAUAUCGGGAGGAACACCCGUGGCGAAGGCGGCUCUCUGGCCUGUAACUGACGCUGAGGCGCGAAAGCGUGGGGAGCAAACAGG
rnacentral:rRNA from 1 species